rnacentral:tRNA from 1 species
AGAAAGAUAAGCUAAUUAAGCUACUGGGUUCAUACCCCAUUUAUAGGGGUUUAAUCCCCUUCUCUCUA